rnacentral:rRNA from 1 species
AGAACGAACGCUGGCGGCGUGGAUAAGACAUGCAAGUCGAACGAGGCAGUUUGGUAGCAAUAUCAAAUUGCCUAGUGGCAAACGGGUGCGUAACACGUAGGUUACAUUCCGGAAAGUGUGGGAUAGCCCAGGGAAACUUGGAUUAAUACCGCAUGUGAUCGCAAGAUCAAAGGUGGCAACACCGCUUUCCGAUUGGCCUGCGCCCUAUCAGCUAGUUGGUGAGGUAAUGGCUCACCAAGGCAACGACGGGUAGCUGGUCUGAGAGGACGACCAGCCACACUGGAACUGAGACACGGUCCAGACACCUACGGGUGGCAGCAGUCGAGAAUCUUUCACAAU